rnacentral:SRP_RNA from 1 species
CCGUGCUAAGCGGGGAGGUAGCGGUGCCCUGUACUCGCAAUCCGCUAUAGCGAGGCCGAACUCCCGCCCGAGGUAGUUCGAUCUCGAGGCAGCCUUAUGGGAGUGGUGUUGACACUCAGGUCCUGCGCAACGAGAACCAGUGAACCCUGUCAGAUCCGGAAGGAAGCAGCAGUAAGCUGACUCUCUCGUGUGCCGCGGGAGCGCCUGGGUCGAGCCAUGAACAUGAGUAACGCUUGGGGUCGUGCUAUCGAAGGCGGGUGCACGG